GCUGAGCUGUGAUGGCGAGCGAAAUAUAGUAGCGAAGUUCCUGAUUCCACACUGCCAAGAAAAGCCUCUAGCGAGGUGAGAGGUGCCCGUACCGCAAACCGACACAGGUAGGCGAGGAGAGAAUCCUAAGGUGAUCGAGAGAACUCUCGUUAAGGAACUCGGCAAAAUGACCCCGUAACUUCGGGAGAAGGGGUGCUCUGUUAGGGUGCAAGCCCGAGAGAGCCGCAGUGAAUAGGCCCAGGCGACUGUUUAGCAAAAACACAGGUCUCUGCGAAGCCGUAAGGCGAAGUAUAGGGGCUGACGCCUGCCCGGUGCUGGAAGGUUAAGAGGAGCGCUUAGCGUAAGCGAAGGUGCGAAUUGAAGCCCCAGUAAACGGCGGCCGUAACAAUAACGGUCCUAAGGUAGCGAAAUUCCUUGUCGGGUAAGUUCCGACCCGCACGAAAGGCGCAACGAUCUGGGCACUGUCUCAACGAGAGACUCGGUGAAAUUAUAGUACCUGUGAAGAUGCAGGUUACCCGCGACAGGACGGAAAGACCCCGUGGAGCUUUACUGCAGCCUGAUAUUGAAUGUUGGUACAGCUUGUACAGGAUAGGUAGGAGCCUUGGAAACCGGAGCGCCAGCUUCGGUGGAGGCAUCGGUGGGAUACUACCCUGGCUGUAUUGACCUUCUAACCCGCCGCCCUUAUCGGGCGGGGAGACAGUGUCAGGUGGGCAGUUUGACUGGGGCGGUCGCCUCCUAAAAGGUAACGGAGGCGCCCAAAGGUUCCCUCAGAAUGGUUGGAAAUCAUUCGCAGAGUGUAAAGGCACAAGGGAGCUUGACUGCGAGACCUACAAGUCGAGCAGGGACGAAAGUCGGGCUUAGUGAUCCGGUGGUUCCGCAUGGAAGGGCCAUCGCUCAACGGAUAAAAGCUACCCUGGGGAUAACAGGCUGAUCUCCCCCAAGAGUCCACAUCGACGGGGAGGUUUGGCACCUCGAUGUCGGCUCAUCGCAUCCUGGGGCUGUAGUCGGUCCCAAGGGUUGGGCUGUUCGCCCAUUAAAGCGGUACGCGAGCUGGGUUCAGAACGUCGUGAGACAGUUCGGUCCCUAUCCGUCGCGGGCGCAGGAAAUUUGAGAGGAGCUGUCCUUAGUACGAGAGGACCGGGAUGGACGCACCGCUGGUGUACCAGUUGUUCUGCCAAGGGCAUCGCUGGGUAGCUAUGUGCGGACGGGAUAAGUGCUGAAAGCAUCUAAGCAUGAAGCCCCCCUCAAGAUGAGAUUUCCCAUUCCGCAAGGAAGUAAGAUCCCUGAAAGAUGAUCAGGUUGAUAGGUCUGAGGUGGAAGUGUGGCGACACAUGGAGCUGACAGAUACUAAUCGAU
rnacentral:rRNA from 1 species